AGGCACAUAGCUCAGUUGGUUAGAGCACCACCUUGACAUGGUGGGGUCGUUGGUUCGAAUCCAAUUGUGCCUACCA
rnacentral:tRNA from 1 species